UACGUAGGGUGCAAGCGUUGUCCGGAAUUAUUGGGCGUAAAGAGCUCGUAGGCGGUUUGUUGCGUCGGCUGUGAAAUCCCGAGGCUCAACCUCGGGUCUGCAGUCGAUACGAGCAAACUAGAGUGUUGCAGGGGAGACUGGAAUUCCUGGUGUAGCGGUGAAAUGCGUAGAUAUCAGGAGGAACACCUGUGGUGUAGACGGCUCUCUGGACCGCAACUGACGCUGAGACACGAAAGCGUGGGUAGCAAACAGG
rnacentral:rRNA from 1 species